GAUCAUGGGCUCAGGAUGAACGCUAGCGACAGGCUUAACACAUGCAAGUCGAGGGGCAGCAUGAUUUGUAGCAAUACAGAUUGAUGGCGACCGGCGCACGGGUGAGUAACGCGUAUGCAACUUACCUAUCAGAGGGGGAUAGCCCGGCGAAAGUCGGAUUAAUACCCCAUAAAACAGGGGUCCCGCAUGGGAAUAUUUGUUAAAGAUUCAUCGCUGAUAGAUAGGCAUGCG
rnacentral:rRNA from 1 species